CGGCGAACGGGUGGGGUAACGCGUGGAUUAUCUGCCCUGAGGUGGGGGAUAACCCGGGGAAACUCGGGCUAAUACCGCAUAUGACCGUGAGGUCAAAGGGGGGUCGCAAGAUCUCUCGCCAUAGGAGGAGUCCGCGUUCGAUUAGCUAGUUGGUAGGGUAAUGGCCUACCAAGGCGACGAUCGAUAGCCGGCCUGAGAGGGCACACGGCCACACUGGCACUGAAACACGGGCCAG
rnacentral:rRNA from 1 species